rnacentral:rRNA from 1 species
CUGGCUCAGGAUGAACGCUGGCGGCGUGCUUAACACAUGCAAGUCGAACGGGGUUUACGAGAAGCUUGCUUUUUGUAAACCUAGUGGCGGACGGGUGAGUAACGCGUGAGUAACCUGCCUUAGACUGGGGGAUAACACUUAGAAAUAGGUGCUAAUACCGCAUAAGCGCACAGUAUCGCAUGAUACAGUGUGAAAAACUCCGGUGGUCUAAGAUGGACUCGCGUCUGAUUAGCUGGUUGGUGAGGUAACGGCCCA